rnacentral:rRNA from 1 species
AUUGAACGCUGGCGGCAUGCUUUACACAUGCAAGUCGAACGGUAACAGGCCGCAAGGUGCUGACGAGUGGCGAACGGGUGAGUAAUGCAUCGGAACGUGCCCAGUCGUGGGGGAUAACGCAGCGAAAGCUGUGCUAAUACCGCAUACGAUCUAUGGAUGAAAGCGGGGGACCGUAAGGCCUCGCGCGAUUGGAGCGGCCGAUGUCGGAUUAGGUAGUUGGUGGGGUAAAGGCCUACCAAGCCGACGAUCUGUAGGUGGUCUGAGAGGACGACCAGCCACACUGGGACUGAGACACGGCCCAGACUCCUACGGGAGGCAGCAGUGGGGAAUUUUGGACAAUGGGCGCAAGCCUGAUCCAGCAAUGCCGCGUGCAGGAAGAAGGCCUUCGGGUUGUAAACUGCUUUUGUACGGAACGAAACGGUCCGGGUUAAUACCCUGGGCUAAUGACGGUACCGUAAGAAUAAGCACCGGCUAACUACGUGCCAGCCGCCGCUGUAA